UAUACCAGCUAUCAAAAAGUUGUCAAUUUAGAAAUUGUAGCAAAUUUAAUUUUCUACAAUUUACCAGUUGAAAAUUUUUU
ensembl:ncRNA C24H11.10 ncRNA